UGAGGAACAUGACCUUCGGCGGGGGAUAGCCGGCCCAACGGCCGGGUAAUACCGCGUACGACCUUUUGGGGACAUCCCCGACUGGUGAAAGCAGCAAUGCGCCGAUGGAGUGCCUCGCGGCCUAUCAGCUAGUUGGUGGGGUAACGCCUACCAAGGCGACGACGGGUAGCUGGUCUGAGAGGAUGGCCAGCCACAUUGGGACUGAGACACGGCCCAGACCUCCGUACGGGAGCAG
rnacentral:rRNA from 1 species